CACUUCAGGUUACUAGUUCCCCUGUUGUUUUGUAGGCUGGACUGGUCCUUGUUCUGUUGAUUUUCUGCUUCAGAUAAAUAGCUUGCAGCUUGGGCUGGGGGAGUCCCUGCCCUGAACUUUGUUGCCUCAGGCACUCUGUUGUUUCAAGGCUUCAGGUACUUUGUUGCCAGGGCCCUCUCCCUUCAAUAUCCAAGUGGAAUGACUUAGGCUGAGCCCAUUCUCCCCUCUGGCAUUUCAUUACUUCAGGCAUUUUACUGCCACCUGAGUAUAAGUUUCCUGGCUCAACUGACUGGGCUGCCCAUGACAAAUGGUUUAAGCUGGGUCAGUCUUCCACCCUACCAUCUUUGUCUCAUAUAACUGUAUCAAGUGGCUUGCUAUGUGCACCUUCUCAUUCUGAAGCUUUAUUGCCUGUGGCAUAGUAACAGAAUUUUGGGCUGCUUUGAGUUCUGCCACUACCACUCUCUCCUUUUACCCCAGUGAGAGACAUGUUACUCAUGCUUCUCUUUAUUGUGAUGUGUUUUAUUUUAUUAUGUAUCUUUGCGUGGGGGAGUUCAAGGAAGUAGAGCAUCCUUUAAUCCACUAUUUUAGGACUCAGUAUGCCCUGAUGUUCUUCCAUAAGAGGAUAAAAUAGAAAUUGAAAGAACCCACUGAAGAUCUCCUAAAGGGAAUCCCAAAUUUAAAAAUUAUCUGAUUCAUAGAACAAUUUCAGAACUCCUAAGAUAAAAAAAAACAACAAGCUGCUAGGGGAAAAAAGUUCAAAUGUUAUGGAAUCACAAUCAGGAUUACAAAGGAUCCAGCAGUUUCUACAAUAACAGAUCAGAUCAUGGAAUAAGAUAUUCCAUGAGGCAAUUGAUAUUGUCCUACAAUCAAAAAUCAUCUACACAGUGAAACUAAGCAUUAAGUAAGAAAUUACUCCAGGGGACAAAAUGGACAUUUAAUGAAAUGGAGGAAUUCCAGGCAUUCCUGAGAGAUGAAAUGACCAACAAGAGAAAUGAAGAAGUUUUGAUGAUCAAAUUUAACACUCAAAAGAAGAAUAAAAAGAUAAGUGAGUCAAAAUUUUGAGAAUCCAAAGAAUAUUAACAGGCAAUUCUCAGCAAUAAUGUUCACAUCUUCAGUGACCAGUCCAAUACAUCUUUCCAAGUGUAUACAACGUGACUAUAUAUAUGGCUUUUAUAGAACAUGGAAUCCAUCAUACCUUUUGCUCCCACCAAAAGACAUCUGCAUUUAAUCUCUCCUCCUGGUAAUUCUCCCCUAUGUGGGAUUUCAUCUUCCAAAAACUAUUGGGAUCUAAGAAAUUGAGAAGCAUCUCAACUGGAGUACUGAAUGUCCUUUUGAAAAAAGAUACCUUCCUCAUGCCAAGAAGAUUGAAAAGAACACAAGCUAGAAUGCAUCAAUUACUUAGAUAUGAAAAAUAACUGGAACAAAUGUGUCUAUUCAUUUCAUAUAAAGAAGAUAAAUGCUUCUAUCUGUCUACAAACUUGGUGAGAGUAUCUUCAAAUACACCUCUAGAUUUUCCAAGAGAUGCUAUCGAGGGACUGAUUAAAGUGUUGAGCAAUGAAGGGAAUAAAAGGGUCUUCUUUUGAGAAACCUGCUAAAAGUG